rnacentral:rRNA from 1 species
UUAAGCGACUAAGCGUACACGGUGGAUGCCCUGGCAGUCAGAGGCGAUGAAGGACGUGCUAAUCUGCGAUAAGCGUCGGUAAGGUGAUAUGAACCGUUAUAACCGGCGAUUUCCGAAUGGGGAAACCCAGUGUGAUUCGUCACACUAUCAUUAACUGAAUCCAUAGGUUAAUGAGGCGAACCGGGGGAACUGAAACAUCUAAGUACCCCGAGGAAAAGAAAUCAACCGAGAUUCCCCCAGUAGCGGCGAGCGAACGGGGAGGAGCCCAGAGCCUGAAUCAGUGUGUGUGUUAGUGGAAGCGUCUGGAAAGGCGCGCGAUACAGGGUGACAGCCCCGUACACAAAAAUGCACAUAUUGUGAGCUCGAUGAGUAGGGCGGGACACGUGGUAUCCUGUCUGAAUAUGGGGGGACCAUCCUCCAAGGCUAAAUACUCCUGACUGACCGAUAGUGAACCAGUACCGUGAGGGAAAGGCGAAAAGAACCCCGGCGAGGGGAGUGAAAAAGAACCUGAAACCGUGUACGUACAAGCAGUGGGAGCCUCUUUUAUGGGGUGACUGCGUACCUUUUGUAUAAUGGGUCAGCGACUUAUAUUCUGUAGCAAGGUUAACCGAAUAGGGGAGCCGAAGGGAAACCGAGUCUUAACUGGGCGUUAAGUUGCAGGGUAUAGACCCGAAACCCGGUGAUCUAGCCAUGGGCAGGUUGAAGGUUGGGUAACACUAACUGGAGGACCGAACCGACUAAUGUUGAAAAAUUAGCGGAUGACUUGUGGCUGGGGGUGAAAGGCCAAUCAAACCGGGAGAUAGCUGGUUCUCCCCGAAAGCUAUUUAGGUAGCGCCUCGUGAAUUCAUCUCCGGGGGUAGAGCACUGUUUCGGCAAGGGGGUCAUCCCGACUUACCAACCCGAUGCAAACUGCGAAUACCGGAGAAUGUUAUCACGGGAGACACACGGCGGGUGCUAACGUCCGUCGUGAAGAGGGAAACAACCCAGACCGCCAGCUAAGGUCCCAAAGUCAUGGUUAAGUGGGAAACGAUGUGGGAAGGCCCAGACAGCCAGGAUGUUGGCUUAGAAGCAGCCAUCAUUUAAAGAAAGCGUAAUAGCUCACUGGUCGAGUCGGCCUGCGCGGAAGAUGUAACGGGGCUAAACCAUGCACCGAAGCUGCGGCAGCGACGCUUAUGCGUUGUUGGGUAGGGGAGCGUUCUGUAAGCCUGUGAAGGUGGCCUGUGAGGGUUGCUGGAGGUAUCAGAAGUGCGAAUGCUGACAUAAGUAACGAUAAAGCGGGUGAAAAGCCCGCUCGCCGGAAGACCAAGGGUUCCUGUCCAACGUUAAUCGGGGCAGGGUGAGUCGACCCCUAAGGCGAGGCCGAAAGGCGUAGUCGAUGGGAAACAGGUUAAUAUUCCUGUACUUGGUGUUACUGCGAAGGGGGGGACGGAGAAGGCUAUGUUGGCCGGGCGACGGUUGUCCCGGUUUAAGCGUGUAGGCUGGUUUUCCAGGCAAAUCCGGAAAACCAAGGCUGAGGCGUGAUGACGAGGCACUACGGUGCUGAAGCGACAAAUGCCCUGCUUCCAGGAAAAGCCUCUAAGCAUCAGGUAACAUCAAAUCGUACCCCAAACCGACACAGGUGGUCAGGUAGAGAAUACCAAGGCGCUUGAGAGAACUCGGGUGAAGGAACUAGGCAAAAUGGUGCCGUAACUUCGGGAGAAGGCACGCUGAUAUGUAGGUGAAGCGACUUGCUCGUGGAGCUGAAAUCAGUCGAAGAUACCAGCUGGCUGCAACUGUUUAUUAAAAACACAGCACUGUGCAAACACGAAAGUGGACGUAUACGGUGUGACGCCUGCCCGGUGCCGGAAGGUUAAUUGAUGGGGUUAGCGGUAACGCGAAGCUCUUGAUCGAAGCCCCGGUAAACGGCGGCCGUAACUAUAACGGUCCUAAGGUAGCGAAAUUCCUUGUCGGGUAAGUUCCGACCUGCACGAAUGGCGUAAUGAUGGCCAGGCUGUCUCCACCCGAGACUCAGUGAAAUUGAACUCGCUGUGAAGAUGCAGUGUACCCGCGGCAAGACGGAAAGACCCCGUGAACCUUUACUAUAGCUUGACACUGAACAUUGAGCCUUGAUGUGUAGGAUAGGUGGGAGGCUUUGAAGUGUGGACGCCAGUCUGCAUGGAGCCGACCUUGAAAUACCACCCUUUAAUGUUUGAUGUUCUAACGUUGGCCCGUAAUCCGGGUUGCGGACAGUGUCUGGUGGGUAGUUUGACUGGGGCGGUCUCCUCCUAAAGAGUAACGGAGGAGCACGAAGGUUGGCUAAUCCUGGUCGGACAUCAGGAGGUUAGUGCAAUGGCAUAAGCCAGCUUGACUGCGAGCGUGACGGCGCGAGCAGGUGCGAAAGCAGGUCAUAGUGAUCCGGUGGUUCUGAAUGGAAGGGCCAUCGCUCAACGGAUAAAAGGUACUCCGGGGAUAACAGGCUGAUACCGCCCAAGAGUUCAUAUCGACGGCGGUGUUUGGCACCUCGAUGUCGGCUCAUCACAUCCUGGGGCUGAAGUAGGUCCCAAGGGUAUGGCUGUUCGCCAUUUAAAGUGGUACGCGAGCUGGGUUUAGAACGUCGUGAGACAGUUCGGUCCCUAUCUGCCGUGGGCGCUGGAGAACUGAGGGGGGCUGCUCCUAGUACGAGAGGACCGGAGUGGACGCAUCACUGGUGUUCGGGUUGUCAUGCCAAUGGCACUGCCCGGUAGCUAAAUGCGGAAGAGAUAAGUGCUGAAAGCAUCUAAGCACGAAACUUGCCCCGAGAUGAGUUCUCCCUGACUCCUUGAGGGUCCUGAAGGAACGUUGAAGACGACGACGUUGAUAGGCCGGGUGUGUAAGCGCAGCGAUGCGUUGAGCUAACCGGUACUAAUGAACCGUGAGGCUUAACCUU